rnacentral:rRNA from 1 species
AACGAACGCUGGUGGCAGGCUUAACACAUGCAAGUCGAGCGCCCCGCAAGGGGAGCGGCAGACGGGUGAGUAACGCGUGGGAACGUACCCUUUACUACGGAAUAGCUCCGGGAAACUGGAAUUAAUACCGUAUGUGCCCUUCGGGGGAAAGAUUUAUCGGUAAAGGAUCGGCCCGCGUUGGAUUAGCUAGUUGGUGGGGUAAUGGCCUACCAAGGCGACGAUCCAUAGCUGGUCUGAGAGGAUGAUCAGCCACAUUGGGACUGAGACACGGCCCAAACUCCUACGGGAGGCAGCAGUGGGGAAUAUUGGACAAUGGGCGCAAGCCUGAUCCAGCCAUGCCGCGUGUGUGAUGAAGGCCUUAGGGUUGUAAAGCACUUUCACCGAUGAAGAUAAUGACGGUAGUCGGAGAAGAAGCCCCGGCUAACUUCGUGCCAGCCGCCGCCGUAACAC